AACGAACGCUGGCGGCAUGCCUAACACAUGCAAGUCGAACGAUACCUGCGGGUCUCGUGGCGCACGGCUGCGUAACGCGGGGGAACCUGCCCUUAGGUUCGGAAUAACUCCCCGGAGGGGGUUCUCAAACCGGAUAGUUACCUCGUACCAAAGAUUUUUCGCCCUUGGAUGUGCCCGCGCUGGAUUCGCUAGUUGGUAGGGUAAAAGCCUACCAAGGCGACGAUACAUAGCGGGUCUGAGAGGCUGAUCAGCCACACUGGGACUGGGACGCGGCCCAGACUCCUACGGGAGGCAGCAGUGGGGAAUAUUGGACAAUGGGCUAUAGCCUGAUCCCGCAAUGCCGCGUGAGUGAUGAAGGCGUUAGGGUUGUAAAGCUCUUUUACCCGGGAUGAUAAUGACAUUACCGGCAGAAUAAGCUCCGGCUAACUCCGUG
rnacentral:rRNA from 1 species